rnacentral:ncRNA from 9 species
GUUGACCUCGGAUCAGGUAGGGAUACCCGCUG